GCGGGAAUGCUGGAAUUGGCAGACAGGCAAGACUAAGGAUCUUGUGUCCGAUAGGACGUGUGGGUUCAAGUCCCACUUCCCGCA
rnacentral:tRNA from 1 species